rnacentral:rRNA from 1 species
UGCAGAAUCCCGUGAACCAUCGAGUCUUUGAACGCAAGUUGCGCCCCAAGCCUUUAGGCCGAGGGCACGUCUGCCUGGGUGUCACGCAUCGUCGCCCCCGUCAAACCCCGAGCCCUCGGGCCGGGAUCGACGCGCGGGCGGAAAUUGGCCUCCCGUGCGCUCACCGCUCGCGGUUGGUCUAAAUUCGAGUCCUCGGCGAUGAAGCGCCGCGACGAUCGGUGGGAACGCCUUUGGCUGCCUCGUUCGGAGUCGCGCGCGCUCGUCGAUCGGGACGCUUUCGACCCUUUAAGGCAUCGCGACGUCGAUGCUCGCAUCGCGACCCCAGGUCAGGCGGGAUCACCCGCUGAGUUUAAGCAUAUCAAUAAGCGGAGGAAAAGAAACUUACCAGGAUUCCCUUAGUAACGGCGAGCGAACCGGGAAAAGCCCAGCUUGAAAAUCGGUCGCCCUCGGCGUCCGA